UGUAGGUGGGCAUCAUUCAAUCUGUUGAGGGCCUGAACAAAACAAAAGGUGAGGAAGGAGGAGUUUGCACAUUUUCCUGCCUCGCUGCUGGAGCUGUGACUCAUUUCAUCUUCUCCUGCCUGUGGACUGGUUUUACACCAGGGGCUCCUCUGGUUCUCAGACCUUUGCACUUGGACUGAGUUGUACCUCUGGCUUUCCUGGGUCUCAAGUUUACAGAUGGCAGAUCAUAGGACUUCUCCGUCUCCAUAAUUGCGUGAGCCAAUUCCUCAAAAUAAAUCAUCUUUUAUACGACAAGAAAGGUGAAGAGUUGAGACCUAAUGGAUCUUUUGCACUGUCUGGACUCAAGUUCCUUAGAAUCUCAAGGCUCGAUAUUAGUAAAAAGAGGAAGCAGAGGAUGCUGGAGCCAACUCCUUUGGAAGUACAGCAGAUGAGAAAACUGAGGUACAGAGGCUUCAAGCAACUUGUGCUUGACCACAAAGUGGCAAAGCUGGAGUUUGGAUGCAGGCAGUCUGGGUUCCAG
rnacentral:lncRNA from 1 species